UACGUAGGGACCGAGCGUUGUCCGGAAUCAUUGGGCGUAAAGAGCGUGUAGGCGGCCUUUUAAGUCCUGCGUGAAAUCCUGCGGCUCAACCGCAGACGGUCGUGGGAAACUGGAAGGCUAGAGUGCGGGAGGGGAGAGUGGAAUUCCCGGUGUAGCGGUGAAAUGCGCAGAUAUCGGGAAGAACACCCGUGGCGAAGGCGGCUCUCUGGAACGCAACUGACGCUGAGACGCGAAAGCGUGGGGAGCAAACAGG
rnacentral:rRNA from 1 species